AGAGUUUGAUCAUGGCUCAGAGCGAACGCUGGCGGCAGGCUUAACACAUGCAAGUCGAGCGGGCGUAGCAAUACGUCAGCGGCAGACGGGUGAGUAACGCGUGGGAACGUACCUUUUGGUUCGGAACAACACAGGGAAACUUGUGCUAAUACCGGAUAAGCUCUUACGGGGAAAGAUUUAUCGCCGAAAGAUCGGCCCGCGUCUGAUUAGCUAGUUGGUAGGGUAAUGGCCUACCAAGGCGACGAUCAGUAGCUGGUCUGAGAGGAUGAUCAGCCACAUUGGGACUGAGACACGGCCCAAACUCCUACGGGAGGCAGCAGUGGGGAAUAUUGGACAAUGGGGGCAACCCUGAUCCAGCCAUGCCGCGUGAGUGAUGAAGGCCCUAGGGUUGUAAAGCUCUUUUGUGCGGGAAGAUAAUGACGGUACCGCAAGAAUAAGCCCCGGCUAACUUCGUG
rnacentral:rRNA from 1 species